CACCCAAGAUGGGAUGGUGUGUUUGAUUGAUUUGGGCAUCAGAUCCCACAUCAGUUUCUUCAUUACAGGUAUUGUGAGGUCACUGUUAUCGAUGUAUGUGGUUCCAUGUUUUGAGGUGUAGAAAAGUGCCUGCCUUUCUGGGAUGUCUGACAGUUUGCUAAUAUGACCUUCUCCAUAUUCAGUUUUCAAGUGCAGACUUAAUUGCAUUCAUGGCUGCUCUUGACACCCAAGCGCAAGCAAAGAUACUGUUGCUCGUCAAACUUUUGAGUCACAAUAGUCUCUAAUAUAUUUGUCUAUCAUUUUCUCAGCAGGCUGGUUACACUUUGUUCUUUUUUUGAUGUAAAAUAUAUUCUCUCAUAAAUAAGAUCCUUAUCCCUUGAUAUUUUGUUAACUAUGCUAACCUCUCAGAAAUUGUUGCUUUGCUUUGGUUUGUUCUGUUUUUAGGUUCUCUUGGGUUUGGUUUUAAUAUCUUUACAUAUUAAAGGACUAGUGUGAGAAUGGAAUGUGAAAAGGAUAACAGGUGAAUGCUGAGCUUGGUUUCCACAGCUGGCUGCCUAAUCUGAGGAGAAGGAUAGCUAAGUGGACAUCUCGUUAAUGAGAAAAACAAGGCAUGGUUAUGUAAAGGACUGAGUUGUUCUUGCCUAAUUAUGCUAAUGUGUAGAUGUGUGCUCUAUGCUCAGAGACUAUAUAAUGAGAGCCAAAGUGAUCAAUAAAUGUCUCUGGUACAAUUCACAUUGAA